GAAGCCGGAAUUGCUAGUAAUGGCAGGUCAGCAUACUGCCGUGAANACGUUCCCGGGCCUUGUACACACCGCCCGUCACACCAUGAGAGUUGGGAAUGCCCGAAGCCUGUGAGCUAACAUUUAUGAGGCAGCAGUCGAAGGUAGAAUCAAUGAUUGGGGUGAAGUCGUAACAAGGUAAC
rnacentral:rRNA from 1 species